UGUCUCCUCUAUUUCUCCUCUGGAAAAUAGAUUCAAGCCCGUUGUCUGACGGGCUUUUUUUC
rnacentral:ncRNA from 1 species